GACGAACGCUGGCGGCGUGCCUAAUACAUGCAAGUAGAACGCUGAAGGAGGAGCUUGCUUCUCUGGAUGAGUUGCGAACGGGUGAGUAACGCGUAGGUAACCUGCCUGGUAGCGGGGGAUAACUAUUGGAAACGAUAGCUAAUACCGCAUAAUAGUAGAUGUCGCAUGACAUUUGCUUAAAAGGUGCAAUUGCAUCACUGCCAGAUGGACCUGCGUUGUAUUAGCUAGUUGGUGAGGUAACGGCUCACCAAGGCAACGAUACAUAGCCGACCUGAGAGGGUGAUCGGCCACACUGGGACUGAGACACGGCCCAGACUCCUACGGGAGGCAGCAGUAGGGAAUCUUCGGCAAUGGACGGAAGUCUGACCGAGCAACGCCGCGUGAGUGAAGAAGGUUUUCGGAUCGUAAAGCUCUGUUGUAAGAGAAGAACGAGUGUGAGAGUGGAAAGUUCACACUGUGACGGUAUCUUACCAGAAAGGGACGGCUAACUACGU
rnacentral:rRNA from 1 species